AAAUUUCUGUAAAUGGUGCAAUCUCUGCUUCCGUUGGAAAAGGACCCUCUAGCAGCCACAUUGUGGCAGGCACCAUGGACCUGAACCUCAAGUGGAAUCUCUCAUGUGUCUACUCAGCAAGGUUACUAACUGUAAACUGCUUUACCAGAAGGUUAUCUCCCGGUGGUGCCAGAUGGGAUCUGCACAGCCCUGCUUCUGCUAAUGCCUGAGUUAAUCCCACCCAACUAGAAUCAUAAGAAUUUUUUUGGAUUUCAUCCUCAAAAAUAGCCAAGGAAUUUGAGUGACUGAGAUCACCAUCACCACUUUUAGCAGCUAGUGAAGUUGGGGUAUAACUAUAAAAAUAUCUGAACUUUAGUUUAGGUGGUCUGAGUAUAGUCUCAUGUAUAGGUGGUACUUCGGUGAUUGUAAACUGAAAUUGUUAAUGUGCAUACAUUGUUGUAGGAAGCUAAGGGAAACAAUGCUUGUCCUCAAAAAGCAUUUCUUAGUGGAUUUCUUGUGAAGUCAUUGUUUUAUUUAAACUUUUGAAGCACAAUUAAAGGUUCUGUUUUGUUGUAUUUUUUAUUCACUAGCAAUGUGGAUUUCAGAUUGAGACACAAAGAACAUUAUUUGUUCUAUGAUUCAAGAGAACAUUCUUAGGAGUUUCACAGAAUAAGAAUUUGAUCUUUUUUUUCUAUAUUUGUACCUGCUAAAGUGAUGAUAUACUGCUUGUAUUGCUACCCACAAACAUUGCUUUCUUUUACCUUAAAUCUAAUAAAGCACUGAUAAAGGUAUUACUGGCA
rnacentral:lncRNA from 1 species